rnacentral:tRNA from 2 species
GCAGCUUCGGGUGGGUGAGCUCGGCGAGCGCCGCCUGCCGUGCCGCGUAGUCGACGGGACGCCGGUUGUCCGGGUCGACCAGGCUGUCC